UCGGUCGGCAAUGCGGUUGAGGGAGAUUUUCUCCUUAGGAAAGUCCGGGCAUCACAGGGCAAGGAUAGCUGCUAACGGCAGCCGAGGGCAACCUUAGGGCAAGUGCAACAGAAAUAGACAGCGGUUUUUAUAAGGGAAACUUUAUAUGCCGCAACGGUGGAAAGGCGAGGUAAGAGCUCACCCUUGCGUUUAGGCAAUGAAGCGCAAGCUGUAAACCCUAUCCGAUGCAACGUCAGGGGCUUUGCUCCGAUGUAAAUACCCCGCACACACGCCUGCCCGGCGGCGGGGCAAACAUAGAACGGCUUGAGCGUUUCGGCGACGAUUCGCCCAGAUAGAUUUCCGCACAACACAAAACCCGGCUUAUUGACGGGCGAACAC
rnacentral:RNase_P_RNA from 1 species